rnacentral:rRNA from 1 species
UACGUAGGGUGCGAGCGUUAAUCGGAAUUACUGGGCGUAAAGCGUGCGCAGGCGGUUCGUCGUGUCCGAUGUGAAAGCCCCGGGCUCAACCUGGGAAUGGCAUUGGAAACUGGCGGACUCGAGUGUGGCAGAGGGGGGUGGAAUUCCGCGUGUAGCAGUGAAAUGCGUAGAGAUGCGGAGGAACACCGAUGGCGAAGGCAGCCCCCUGGGCUAACACUGACGCUCAGGCACGAAAGCGUGGGGAGCAAAUAGG